rnacentral:rRNA from 1 species
GUAUGGGGCAAGCGUUGUUCGGAUUUAUUGGGCGUAAAGGGCGUGUAGGCGGCUCAUCAAGUCUGGUGUGAAAUCGUCAGGCUCAACCUGACAUAUGCGCUGGAAACUGGUGGGCUUGAGUUCUUGAGGGGAAGCUGGAAUUCCAGGUGUAGGGGUGAAAUCUGUAGAUAUCUGGAAGAACACCGGUGGCGAAGGCGAGCUUCUAUCAGAGGACUGACGCUGAGGCGCGAAAGCGUGGGGAGCAAACAGGAUUAGAUACCCUGGUAGUCCACGCUGUAAACGAUGUGCACUAGGCGUGGGGCCCGUACGGGUUCUGUGCCGUAGUUAACGUGUUAAGUGCACCGCCUGGGGAGUAUGCUCGCAAGGGUG